CGCUUUGCCACGCGGGCCGGGGCGUGGCCCCACGUGUAUUUUUCUCGUUGUUUGGUAUAUUCAGCUGACCUCUUGACUGAGGAGCCGACGGCGGCGUGGCCGGAGAGUAACGGCCGGCUACCUGACUGUCAGGCCGACGGUCUGCCUCUAGCCGCGCUGACGGACCCAGUCAUGGCUUGGGGCUGUGGCGGUGACCGAUGGGUGUUGCGACCCUGGUUGACUGGGAGGAUGGAGGAGGAGUGCUGACGUGAAGCCGUCAGUGAACCAGUGAUGCUGUCUGAGGCUCCGUUCCCACCUGGCCGCCGGGCUGGUGGCCUGCCUCUGUCUUCCGAGCCAUGGUGGACUCUGGCGGAGAUAGGUGAUGCCUGCGACCUGGAGUACGGAUGAGCUGACGACCAUGGCGAAGGAGUCCUACCGUGAACACGAGGGAGAACGCGUGACUGAGCUGGGAUCAGAGGUGUGGCUGCGGAGGUGACUUCUGCGCUUGUGCUGCUCUGCGGACCACUGGAGCUGUGUGUACUUGGUUGUUGGGUGCUCAGCUGACCAUGGCAGCCUCCAUGAGUGUCGUGGCCGUACCACAGUGGAGUGGGUGAUGGCGGUGCGGCCACUGGUUGGGUGGUGUAGUGCCGGUCUGCUUGGCGGCUGACAUAUUUGGCCUGUUGCUGAUGAACUAAUCGACCUGCUGAUAGGUAAAGAGGGGAUGCCGCUGACGAACUGAACGCUCUGCUGUGCGGUGAACUGGAUGCGACGGGG